CGCGCAGACGUCGUCCCGGUUAGUCGUCUUCCCCCGCUGUUUCAUUUGCCUUGUGUACGCGUGUGUAUGCGUGCGAGCGUGUGCGUGAUGAAUUUGUGAGCAGGAGCAAGGUGAAAACUCCCGAUCACGUGUGUGACGAAGAAAGGAUCAUCAAAUUUACCAAACGCGUACCCGAAGAAUCACUUAAUUAUUUGGAUCCUGGAUCGACAAGUUGAUCGUCCUCGUUUCGCUGGAGCGGGCCUAUAAUCGUCAGUGGUCACUAACGCGCACACGUGUUUCUUUCUACCGCGACAAUAACAGACGGAACUACAAAAAGACCAUUUUUUUAUACCAGAGGAAAAGUGACAACUUAGCAGAGGAAAAGAGAACAACUCAAUUCACGUACGGCUGAAGACUGGAGGGAGACACUCGAAGAGAUAAAUCUCGAGAACACCGACAGGUGUUUGCACGAGUAUCGAUGAUUGAUAUCUUACUCCGCCCUCAAGAGUACUUCUCAUUGAGAAUUCGCAUUGAGAAUUCGCGAUAAGAUUAGCAUCGAUCGUUCGCGGGAGGUGGCGAUAUUUGCAAACAGUUGAUACGGGAUAUGUGAAGUGUCAAUUUCAAUCUGAUUUACGAUCACAUGAGGAGAUCGCCGAUUAUACCGGGUGGCUGACAAAUCUACAUGCGUUCAGAGAAGAAUCUUCACAUUGUUAACAAUUUGUGACAAUCGAGGAGAGGAUUCUGAAAAUUAUUACAAUAGUGAAGGAAUUCUUCUUUCGUUUGCGCGAAAAUAAAGGAGCGAUUAUUCGACGCAAAAGCGUCGGAGUGUGAAAUCGUUGAUUAACCCGAUAAAUUAAUUGAGUGCUUUUUAACCGUCGAAGUGGCAGCUCGCGACGAGUUAAUGCCGCGUAUAAGGACCGAUGGAUUCAACGAAGAUC